GGAGGAAACUGGCUUUGACCUAUCCAAUGACUUUGAUAAUAUUUGCCUGGUUUUUAACAAGUGAAGUGAGUCCUGUCAUGAGUUUUGGGAUUCCAGGGCAGCAUUCAACAGCUUUUUAUUUAAUCUAGAACUGAGUAUAUUGUGAUCAAGCCAUAAACUAAGAUGUACAGAUCAGGAGAACCACUGGCCUGGAAACUCAACAAAAGCUCCAUAAAAAAGACCUGAAGUCCUUGAUGGCAGAAUAUCCGAAACUCUACUCUUGCUGUUGGUAUUGCCCGGAGGGGGUGGUGUUGCUUGAGACCGGGUGACGGUGGAGUACGAAGACGAGGCUUCGUUGGGCCUAGUGUUGGAUGAUGCGUCGUAUUUACAUAUAUUUGCGUAGUUUUCCCUACGUAAGCCAUUGACCCGGCAUAUUAAUUUCCCCCUUAUUUCAAAGUGAAAAUCAUAUCAAAUUUUAUAUAGAGUUUUGUAAAAAUAAAGCGCUUAUUUCUAUAAAAAACAAGAGUUUGGCGAGAGCACGAGCCAAACAUGUCCUACUUCACUUCCACGCAAGAGCGCCCCCCAAUUAUUACUCAAAGUGAAACUUAUAUACUGUAGUUACUUGAAAAAUUGGAGUGGAGUAAAUGUCAACAUUUAAUUGAGCAGCAUUCAUUGUUCUUUCAAACAGCAAGUCUUGAAUACUAAAGUGGGAUUAGUUGUCUAGGAGAUACUGUCAAUACUCACUGUAUUUCAGUGUUUACUGUAGGUGCAAUAGAGGGUGUACCAACUAUAGAAUAAGGUUUCAUGUCUGUGCAAGCACCUGCAUCUAAGAGAAGCUGAGUCACAUUUCCAGGACAGUGUAUUACUUCAUUUGUGAA